GGGGGGAGCAAGCGUUGUUCGGAUUUACUGGGCGUAAAGGGCGCGUAGGCGGUCAGCACAAGUCAGUUGUGAAAUCUCCGAGCUUAACUCGGAAAGGUCAACUGAUACUGUGCGACUAGAGUGCAGAAGGGGCAACUGGAAUUCUCGGUGUAGCGGUGAAAUGCGUAGAUAUCGAGAGGAACACCUGCGGCGAAGGCGGGUUGCUGGGCUGACACUGACGCUGAGGCGCGAAAGCUAGGGGAGCGAACGGGAUUAGAUACCCCGGUAGUCCUAGCCUUAAACGAUGAAUGCUUGGUGUCUGGGGUUAUAAAGUCCCCGGGUGCCGUCGCUAACGCUUUAAGCAUUCCGCCUGGGGAGUACGGUCGCAAGACUG
rnacentral:rRNA from 1 species